UCCAAGGAAUUCUGUGUUUUCUGGGCCU
rnacentral:piRNA from 1 species